rnacentral:tRNA from 1 species
GCUGGCGUGGUCGAAUGGUUACGCUGUCCGCUUUGUAAGCGGAUGAUCAUUGGUUCGAUUCCCAACUGCUCCAGCC